AUGCUCGCACUCGGCGGCCGCUCCGCCAGGUGCCUCAACUUCGCCGACUCGGCGUGGCUGCUCGCCGUGCCGUCCGCGCUCUCCGACCUCGCCGACGUCCGGCGCGCGGCCCUCCAGGCCGUCGCGGAUUUCCAGCGACGGGAGGCUGCCAAUGGCCUGAUAGCCAGGACCGUUGCCGAGGAGACCCCAUCUAGCGCUCAUGCACAAUCGUCGUCUGAGUCCGACAGUGCCGAUUCGUCGGAGGCGUCGGAAGCUUCCGCCGAUGGAGAGUUCGAGGUGCUGGCUACAAUGGACAUCGAUAUGUUCAGGCUUGACUUGUUCCCGGAAAUGGACCUGGGCUCGUACUACGUGAGCCUCGCAGAGGCGCUGCUCAUGGACCCGCCGUCGACGGCGGCCAUCAUCGACGCGUACUGGGACAACGGCGACGGCGGAGCAGAUGUCGCGCUCUGGAGCUACUAG
rnacentral:rRNA from 1 species